rnacentral:rRNA from 1 species
GAUGAACGCUGACAGAAUGCUUAACACAUGCAAGUCUUUGGCGAAGCUGUGCUUGCACAGCCUAGCCAAGGCGGACGGGUGAGUAACGCGUAAGGAACUUGCCCUGCAGUCAGGGAUAACAGACGGAAACGACUGAUAAGACCUGGUAAAGUCAGGCGGACUCAUGUCCAGCCUGAUGAAAAGAGAUGCUGCAGGAGAGCCUUGCGUCCUAUUAGCUUGUUGGUGGGGUAACGGCCCACCAAGGCGAUGAUAGGUAGCCGGCCUGAGAGGGUGGACGGCCACAAGGGGACUGAGAUACGGCACUUACUUCUACGGGAGGCGGGAGGGGGGAAUAUUGGACAAGGGGGGCAACCCUGAUCCAGCAAUUCUGUGUGCACGAUGAAGGUUUUCGGAUUGUAAAGUGUUUUCAGCAGGGAAGAAAAAAAUGACGGUACCUGCAGAAGAAGCGACGGCUAAAUACGUG